rnacentral:rRNA from 1 species
AACGUAGGAGACAAACGUUAUCCGGAGUUACUGGGCGUAAAGGGCGCGUAGGCGGCCAUUCAAGUCAGAGGUGAAAGCCCAGGGCUUAACCCUGGAAUUGCCUUUGAUACUGUUUGGCUUGAGACCGGAAGAGGUAAGUGGAACUGCGAGUGUAGAGGUGAAAUUCGUAGAUAUUCGCAAGAACACCAGUGGCGAAGGCGGCUUACUGGUCCGGUUCUGACGCUGAGGCGCGAAAGCGUGGGGAGCAAACAGGG